rnacentral:rRNA from 1 species
CCUACGGGCGGCAGCAGUGAGGAAUAUUGGUCAAUGGACGAGAGUCUGAACCAGCCAAGUAGCGUGAAGGAUGACUGCCCUAUGGGUUGUAAACUUCUUUUAUAAAGGAAUAAAACGAGGCACGUGUGCCCUUUUGCAUGUACUUUAUGAAUAAGGAUCGGCUAACUCCGUGCCAGCAGCCGCGGUAAUACGGAGGAUCCGAGCGUUAUCCGGAUUUAUUGGGUUUAAAGGGAGCGUAGAUGGGUUGUUAAGUCAGUUGUGAAAGUUUGCGGCUCAACCGUAAAAUUGCAAUUGAUACUGGCAGUCUUGAGUACAGUUGAGGUAGGCGGAAUUCGUGGUGUAGCGGUGAAAUGCUUAGAUAUCACGAAGAACCCCGAUUGCGAAGGCAGCUUACUAAACUGUGACUGACAUUGAUGCUCGAAAGUGUGGGUAUCAAACAGGAUUAGAUACCCUAGUAGUC